GAUGACGAGGACAGGAAAAUAUGGAAGAAGAUGAUCCGCUAUGGCAACCCCUAAUGAGAGCAGCUAAAAGAAGAAGUUGUCACAUCUUGGGUAACUGCCACCAUGUCAAGAUUAGUACAGCCAAGCUUCACUCCAUCAUGCCCACACUGCUGGAAUCCUUUAAACAACAGACUAGAAGAUUGACAACCUUACAAUCUCCAACAUCACUUCCUGGACCCGACCUUCCUACCAGAAGCUUUCAAGACCAGAGGUUUGGACAUCUUGGACAAUUCAGCUUGGAGCUCGAGUCUGGAAAAAUGCAACUUUGUUGCUCUUUAUUUUUUUUCCCCAACAAUACAUGGGCAUGGCCUGCCCAACCCCUUUA